rnacentral:rRNA from 1 species
AUUGAACGCUGGCGGCAGGCCUAACCCAUGCAAGUCGAACGAGUGGCGGACGGGUGAGUAAUGUCUGGGAAACUGCCUGAUGGAGGGGGAUAACUCCUGGAAACGGUAGCUAAUACCGCAUACCAUCGGAUGUGCCCAGAUGGGAUUAGCUAGUAGGUGGUGUAAAGGCUCACCUAGGCGACGAUCCCUAGCUGGCCUGAGAGGAUGACCGGCCACACUGGAACUGAGACACGGUCCAGACUCCUACGGGAGGCAGCAGUGGGGAAUAUUGCACAAUGGGCGCAAGCCUGAGGCAGCCAUGCCGCGUGUAUGAAGAAGGCCUUCGGGUUGUAAAGUACUUUCAGCGGGGAGGCGUUACCCACAGAGGAAGCACCGGCUAACUCCGUGCCAGCAGCCGCGGUAAUAC